GGGGAGAAAAAGGAGAGUUGAUUAACAUAUAAAGAGUGCUAGUGAGAGGUAAAGAUUGCUGUUGAUCACAAGCAAAUUCAAUUAGGCUGUGUCCUUUCCUCUUUGCUUUCAUGUUGAGAGGUGUUUGCUCACUGUGGAGCCAUGGGGAUCAUUGCUGAAGGUGUGGAGGGAAGCAGCAUGCAUGGCUCCUGCCCUGCUGGUGGCAUUGGGAACGUGGUGUCUGCACCAGUGAUGUGACUGCAUCUCUCCUCACUGGAACGAGGACUGAAGCUCUGGGAGCUGAGGGGUUGUCAGUCCCUAUUAAUAAACAGUGAGGAUGAUUUGUCCCCUCUUUAAAAACAUCAGGAGAAGAUGCACAGACAGUCUUGUCACACUAACCUUGUGACAAAGUAGAGUCACCAUACAGGAAAGCCACGCUGAGCUGAAUUCUCCAGGCCUGUCUCAGCCUGUUGCUGCCUUUCUGUGGACUCUCUGCUGCCACACCACCAGAAGGGACCAGGCAGAGGAAUCCAGGCCCUUUCUUUCUUCUGGCUGGGAGCACCCGAAUA